rnacentral:rRNA from 1 species
GAUGAACGCUGGCGGCGUGCCUAAUACAUGCAAGUCGAGCGAACGGACGAUAAGCUUGCUUCUCUGAUGUUAGCGGCGGACGGGUGAGUAACACGUGGAUAACACACUUAUAUUACUUGGAUAACUUCGGGAAACCAGAUCUAAUACUGGAUAAUACUUUGAACGGCAUGGUUCAAAAGUUAUUGACGGUCUUCCCGUCACUUAUAGCUGGUUCCGCGCUGCAUUAGCUAGUUGGUAAGGUAACGGCUUACCAAGGCAACGAUGCAUAGCCGACCUGAGAGGAUGAUCGGCCACACUGGAACUGAGACACGGUCCAGACUCCUACGGGAGGCAGCAGUAGGGAAUAUUCCGCAAUGGGCGAAAGCCUGACCGAGCAAUGCCGCGUGAGUGAUGAAGGUCUUCGGAUCGUAAAGCUCUGUUAUUAGGGAAGAACAUAUGUGUAAGUAAAUGUGCACAUCUUGACGGUACCUAAAGAGAAAGCCACGGCUAACUACGUG